CUUGAAUUCCCUCUCUUGCUCCAUCCGAAUCCCUCACAUCUUACUUGAGACUGAUACAAACACUUGAUUGAGCGAACUUCUUGGCCUGCGGCUGGACUCGAUCCAAUCAGCUCCCUCAGCUCUCUUUCCUGUUGAAAUCCUCAAGAGAAACUCACCUUUUUGAUUAGUCUUUGUUUUCAGUUUCCAGUAUAAUCUGACCCAGCUGCAUUCCUUUCAAAACUGGAGCUGAA